AUGUGGAGGCAGCGGGGUCAGGGGGUGCGAGGGGCUGCUGCCAUCCUGACCCCCUGUCCUCACACAGU
ensembl:miRNA gga-mir-12257 gga-mir-12257